CCGAGUUUACAACUCCCAAACCCCUGUGAACAUACCACUUGUUGCCUCGGCGGAUCAGCACGCCUCCCGGUAAAAACGGGACGGCCACCGCCAGAGGACCCCCUAAACUCUGUUUAUCAUAUAUGUAACUUCUGAAGUAAAACCAUAAAUAAAUCA
rnacentral:misc_RNA from 1 species